GUUGAAACACCGGUUCCCGUACGAUCACCGAAGUUAAGCAACGUCUGUCUUGGGCAGUACCUAGAUGAGAGUCCGCUUGGGUAUACCAGAUGCUGUAUU